ensembl:lncRNA
AAAAAAGAGUGAAGGGUAGGGAGUGGUGGCAGAUAGGCCCGAGAGAUAAAGGGAGAUUGAGCGAAAGAAUAAGACUCCUCUUGGAAGAUGGCCGACAGCUUUUCUUUGUAUAGGAGAGAGAGAGUCACUGAAGCGAGAGAAACACGUCUCCUCCUCUGCUCUUCCUGGAGCUGACACCUCUCCUCGCGUGAAGGACUCCUGCACAACAGACCAGCCACUGCCGCUCAUUCCUGUACGCUCUCGUCACCUCCACCAGACCUUUCCCUCUCCCGUAAAUCAUCUUCAUUAUUAAUGAACCAUAUACUCCAACUCUGCCGUCCAGUGUCUGCUCUUGGAUUUAGCUAAAACCAACCCGAACCCAGCCAUAUACAACACUUUUGGAGGAACUGGAACGGCUCAUCGCCCCAACAUCCGUUGGAUCCGUGGCAUCUAACAAUGCUCUUGUGACAAUGUAAAAUGCACAGUUCAUGUUUCUUGUAACUUUUCACUUUCAUUUUUUAAAAUGCAUUCCUUUCCGUCUGGCUGGAUUAAUGGAUUUCAAUUAUAUGAACAACAAUAAUGAAAAUCUCCUUUUUUCACCUUAUUAAAAAUGUGGCCGUAAACUAAGAAACAUUUUCGUAUCCCACUUAUCCUCAGAUCUCUGCACCAGCUACCUGUUGAUUUAACUCAUUAUCAUCAAAGCCCAAAGGUAGCUUGUCAGAGGAUAUGUCCUCGCUGCCAGAGACAUUUCUGCUGUCAUUGUUACAAAAUCUGAACAGACGCAAAGGUUAUGAAACUUUUUGAAUGACUUGCCUGGGGGAUUAGGGCUUUGAUUAAGUUUAACAUUUUAAUAUAAUGAGCUUAUCAGUGACAUAAGAAAAAGAAAUAUGCUAGGUUAAUCAUUAUGUUUUUUCCUCUGUUUAAAAUGUAGUAUUUUGUGUGGGUGUUGAAAAAUAAAAUGUGCCAUUCAUAUUAUAUCACGAUUGUAUUGUCUGAUCUGGAGAAACUAAUCUUUCACUGAGUUAUGAAUAAUAUAUUUAAUGGAAAGG